UUUCUCAACAAUUGGAUCCCGAUACGUUCGAUUUGGUGUGUUUUUGAGCAAUUAAUGAAUGGACACCCUUAGGUGGGACCCACUAAGCUUAUGAACACCAACUUCCAGCUCAUUCUUUGCCCAUAGCUUUUGCCCACGUGACUCUCUUCUCCUCACCAUCUUACUUUACUUGCACUCCUCCAUUUCCCAGUACAAGGUAUGGCUUCAAAAUGCAUGUGUGUGUAUGCUUUUACUAUAAAUAGGAGGCUUCGGUUCCUCAUUUAACACACCAAUCUCCACUCUCCAGUUCCUCUUCUAUAUCCCUCUCUAUCCCAAUCCCUCUCUCUCUCUCUCUCUACACUCUCUCCAAGAGCUCUCCCGGUUUACACCUUUAACCAUCCUAACACCACCACCCUCAACCACUAAAACCACCCAAAACACCCCUAUUUCUCUUAUACACGACUGCCAAGCUCCUCCAAAAAAAAAAAAAAAAAAAUUCAUACUAUUGCUACCUAUUUCCCUCGUCGUUGUCGGCCAACAGAAAGGAAGAAAAUAGAGGCAACAAAGCUGCCAGAAGCAGCUCCGCCACCUCACUGCCGCCGCUACUGUGGAAGUCCGACCAACCAUCACCACUGCUUUGCUACCGCAGUAGGUAACUAAAUUAAUUCCGGCGGUUCGUUUUAGAAGCAACACAUUUCGGUUUCUCGCAUCAAAUACGCAAAACGACUCAUUAACCGCUUGAUAAGGUCAGUGAUGAACAGGUACAUCCCAUGAGCUUUUGUGAAGACAGUCUAUUACCGAGCUGCAUCUAUGUUAUGUUCUGUAAUUACUUUGAUAUUACUAUAACCUGUAACCGAUGUAAAAUUAUUACUACUAAUGCAAUGGUUGUUGUACUUUGA